GAGAUGAGAUGAUGUGUUUCAAGAAUAUUGCAGCACUGCCAUUCUUCAUUUUUUGCUCAAGUACUCAAAAGAAUGAAUCCAAGGACAGACUGACAAAUACAAAAAAUAGCAUUCAGGGGGGGAAGGGGGGAAGGGAAUGCAAUUGAAUGGAACUGAAAUUCGGAAUUAGUUGCACUAGCCUUAAUACCUGCACAUCAGCUGCUCGUGAGAAGAAACUGUCAAUAUGGUGCUAGUUUUUUUGUAGAUAUUCAAGAAUCAUGGCCGAGGAGGAAUUAAAGCCCUCCAACUAUAUACCGGAGGUGAUCUCAAGAAUAGGGAAAAGAAAUGAAGAGGGGCAUUAGAAGGAAGCAACAGCUGGAGCAGAGUAUUAGGAAAAUCAAGGGAGAUAACGUCGUCACC
rnacentral:lncRNA from 1 species